ACGCUCGACACCUACGGGAGCAGCAGUAGGGAAUCUUCCACAAUGGGCGCAAGCCUGAUGGAGCAACACCGCGUGAGUGAAGAAGGGUUUCGGCUCGUAAAGCUCUGUUGUUGGAGAAGAACGUGCGUGAGAGUAACUGUUCACGCAGUGACGGUAUCCAACCAGAAAGUCACGGCUAACUACGUGCCCGCAACCGCGGUAAUCUGAGCGGGCUGGCAAGGC
rnacentral:rRNA from 1 species